UACGGAGGAUCCGAGCGUUAUCCGGAUUUAUUGGGUUUAAAGGGUGCGCAGGCGGAAGAUUAAGUCGGUGGUGAAAUUUUGCAGCUCAACUGUAAAAGUGCCAUUGAUACUGGUUUUCUUGAGUGUGGAUGAAGUAGGCGGAAUUUGUGGUGUAGCGGUGAAAUGCAUAGAUAUCACGAGGAACUCCGAUUGCGCAGGCAGCUUACUAAACCAUAACUGACGCUCAGGCACGAAGGCGUGUGGAUCAAACAGGAUUAGAUA
rnacentral:rRNA from 1 species